GAUGAACGCUAGCUACAGGCUUAACACAUGCAAGUCGAGGGGCAGCAUGGUCUUAGCUUGCUAAGGCCGAUGGCGACCGGCGCACGGGUGAGUAACACGUAUCCAACCUGCCGUCUACUCUUGGACAGCCUUCUGAAAGGAAGAUUAAUACAAGAUGGCAUCAUGAGUUCACAUGUUCACAUGAUUAAAGGUAUUCCGGUAGACGAUGGGGAUGCGUUCCAUUAGAUAGUAGGCGGGGUAACGGCCCACCUAGUCUUCGAUGGAUAGGGGUUCUGAGAGGAAGGUCCCCCACAUUGGAACUGAGACACGGUCCAAACUCCUACGGGAGGCAGCAGUGAGGAAUAUUGGUCAAUGGACGAGAGUCUGAACCAGCCAAGUAGCGUGCAGGAUGACGGCCCUAUGGGUUGUAAACUGCUUUUAUAAGGGAAUAAAGUGAGUCUCGUGAGGCUUUUUGCAUGUACCUUAUGAAUAAGGACCGGCUAAUUCCGUG
rnacentral:rRNA from 1 species